rnacentral:rRNA from 1 species
UGUAAGCGUAUACCAAAGUUGUUGCAGUUAAAACGCUCGUAGUCGGAAUUUGGCAGUUCCGGAUGUGUGCACGUCGUGUGCGCACUUCGCGGGGAUUGCUUUUGUGGUCUUGCGUAGGAUGAGGCACUUUUAUUAGUGAACGUCCUCACGCAACCACUUUUUACUGUGAGAAAAUCAGAGUGCUCAAAGCAGGCAUUUGCCGUGAAUGUAUUAGCAUGGAAUAAUAGAAUAGGACUUGGUUCUAUUUUGUUGGUUUGUUGGGACUGAGUAAUGAUUAAGAGGGACAGUUGGGGGCAUUCGUAUUUCGGUGCUAGAGGUGAAAUUCUUAGAUUACCGAAAGACAAACUGCUGCGAAAGCGUCUGCCAAGGAUGUUUUCAUUGA